rnacentral:misc_RNA from 1 species
GAAAACCUUGGCCCAAGUAUGCAGAUGCUCAGAUAUAGCAGGAAUGAUCAACUUCUCAACUUUUAAAGUAGAGAGGACUGUCUCAAUAGCAUCAAAAAGUCUACGACACAUCCCUUGCUGCCUAUAUAUAUUCCUGGUCCCAAUGAAUGGCAUUUCUGCAAGUUGAGUUCCACGGAUCCUUAUAGAUGCAGCAGAUAUUAUGUCAUCACCUCUUUCCAGAAUUGCAGUGUAGAAGCCACGGAAAUUCAGCCGACUUAAAUUUGAGCCAGUGUUGUAGAGAACGUUGUGAAUAAUAUUUAUCCCACUUCUCCUGUCGACAAUGGGUACGAAACAUUCAUCCAUAACAGCCAGUGCAACAGCUAGCUUAGAAU